rnacentral:rRNA from 1 species
AGAGCGAACGCUGGCGGCAGGCUUAACACAUGCAAGUCGAGCGGGCGUAGCAAUACGUCAGCGGCAGACGGGUGAGUAACGCGUGGGAACAUACCUUUUGGUUCGGAACAACGCAGGGAAACUUGUGCUAAUACCGGAUAAGCCCUUACGGGGAAAGAUUUAUCGCCGAAAGAUUGGCCCGCGUCUGAUUAGCUAGUUGGUGAGGUAACGGCUCACCAAGGCGACGAUCAGUAGCUGGUCUGAGAGGAUGAUCAGCCACAUUGGGACUGAGACACGGCCCAAACUCCUACGGGAGGCAGCAGUGGGGAAUAUUGGACAAUGGGCGCAAGCCUGAUCCAGCCAUGCCGCGUGAGUGAUGAAGGCCCUAGGGUUGUAAAGCUCUUUUGUGCGGGAAGAUAAUGACGGUACCGCAAGAAUAAGCCCGGCUAACUUCGUGCCAGCAGCCGC